rnacentral:ncRNA from 1 species
GAUAACUGGCUUGUGGCGGCCAAGCGUUCAUAGCGACGUCGCUUUUUGAUCCUUUGAUGUCGGCUCUUCCUAUCAUUGUGAAGCAAAAUUGUUAUUUUUAAACUAAAAUAGGAAUGAGACACAUGUAAAUUAUAAAACAAUGCUGAUUCAUUGUAUAUGUUUACAAUU